GGGGCGUUAGUAAAUCAAUUACAUGAUCUUGUCAAGAUCAAAUCACAGGUGCAACCCCUGUAUGCUCCA
rnacentral:tRNA from 1 species